rnacentral:tRNA from 1 species
GUUUAAGUAGCUUAAUCACAAAGCACCAAUCUUGUAAGUUGGCGACUAGAGGCUAGCCCCCCCUCUUAAAUU